AUUAAUACAAAUUCCUUAUAAAUAUAUGAGUUCCAAUUACAUAUAUAACUAAGGUUAGAAGUGGCUGCAAAAUACAAAAGAGGGCCACUUAUUUCACUAUGCUAUUAGACUCAUUAGAGUGCGGGAACGAUCAUGCACUCAAGUUUUGCGGAUCAUCGGGAUCCUCAUAAAUUUCAAUGGGUAGGUUAGUUGAUGGCUCCUCAUUUUCUUUCUCAUAU
rnacentral:lncRNA from 1 species